ACAGACAGACCGGAAGAGAAGCACUGCUGUGAAGUCCUAAAGGCAGAGCAAAGUGAAAUGCGUCCGUGCACAGCGAUGUGCAAAAAAGGGUAUGAACUUCAAGCAGAAAUAAUGUGAUACUCAAAGCAAGCAGGAAGCUACUGAAAGACUGAGGAAGGGACAGAGAUGAACUCUUUCUCUGGGUGAUGAGGAACCAGAGAAGGUGGAAAGAGAUGGGAGCCGAGAGCACAGAGCAAGCAGGAGCAAAUGAGGUAGGUGGCAUCACCUGUGUCUGAAGACAGCCAUGGACAGCUAAGCCAAGAGCAGGAGGGAUCUUGCCCAGCUGGGUGCUGCUUGUUAUCAGUCCUUCAGCAAACAACCCACAGACAAAGGUAGCUGAUGGGAAGCCAGGACUGCACGGCAACAGUCGCCAACUCAUCAGCAAUGCCAUCUAUCAAGCAAGCCUACAAAAAUGACACAUAAUGCUUGAUGCUGAACAUCCAUUAAGACUUGGUGCCAACUCCCUCUAACAAGGUCCUGUUAAUACUGGAUUGACAGGGGGUCCACAAAGCAAGGCUCCCCCAGCAUUCAUUACACUGCUUCCAUACCCAAAAGUCCUCUGUGCCGGCAGAAAAGCUACUGAAGGAGGAAGAUGUCACAGUGAUCUGCUCAGUUGCUUCCCAUUUUGCAGUGAUAGCAGACAGAAGAACCAGCAUAUUGCAACAGGGUUUUAGUGUGUGAAACAGCACUAUUUUGAAUUGGGGGCCGCAUGACUUCUCACCAUCCAAAAUGGAUGCAAGAUCAUGCCUUCCUCUCUCUAGGGAAAACAGGGAGACCCUGGAUAACUAUAGAGACUCAGUACUUUAAAGGGAUGAUCAGCACUAUUUUAAGAGGUGUCCUUAAAAGUUCAUCCCUAGGAUUUUGGUUUCUGGUGCUACAAGAACGUGCUAACAGUCAAGAAUAUGGAAAUAUGAGAUGGUACUCGCUGGAGAAUGACUUCUUGUUAUGGCAGCCUGAGAGAGAAAAAAAUGCAAUGGUGUUGGCAUAUUCUGAACCCAUCUCCAAAGGACUUGCUAUUUCUUUGAUACCAAAAGGCAAGACAUGAGGAAGUCCUUCCAGCGGAAAGAGAAAAAACCCAGUGGGGUGGCAGAAAGAAGUACUGUAAAUAAUUGAUACACUGGAGAGCUGUGCUGCCAUCCAGAGGGAGAACUGACAGGUACGUCAUGAAGCUCAACAAGGAAAGAUACAAAGUACUGCGCCCUGGGAGGAAUAAUCCUAUGCACCAGUACGUGCUCAGGGCUGACUGGCUGGAAAACAGGAUUGUAGAAAAGGAUCUGGGGUCCUGGUGGGCACCAAUUUGACCAUGAGCAUCAAUGGGUCCUUGCUGCAGAGAAGGCUGAUGGUACACAGGGCUGUAUGAGGAGUGAUGCCAGCAGGCAGAGGGAGGUGAGUUGUCCCCUCUGCUCUGCACUGCUGGGUCCAGUUAUGGACUCCUGAGUAUGACAGAAACAUGGAGAUACUGGAAUGAGCCCAAUAAAGGGCCACAAAAAUGUUAAGGGAGUGGAAUGACUCACAUGUGGGGAAGGGCUGUGAGAGCUGGGACUCUUUCUGCCUAGAGAAGGUGGGAGUGGGGCAAAAUCUUGUCAAUGUAUGCAAAAACCUGAGGGCAAGGUGCAAAGAAGAGGUAACCAGGCUUUUGUCAGUGGAGCCCAGUGUCAAGGCAAGAGGCAAAGGGCAGAAACUGAAACGUAGGAGGCUUCAUUUGAAUAUCAGGAAACAUUUUCUUGUGCUGUGAGGGUGACUGAGCACUGGUAUGAGUUGCCAGAGAGGCUGCAGAGUCUCCAUUUGUGGAGAUACUCAAGAGCUGUCUUGUCACGGCCCUGGGACAUUGGCUCUAGGUGGCCUUGUUUGAGCAUGGGGGCUGGACAGGGUGACUUGUAGAGGAUUCUGGGAUUCCCCUCAGUACUCCAUCCCUUGGAGAACUGCUGGCCCUUCCUGCUUCCUGCCAGUGGAUAAUUAACAGGAUGUAGUAAACAUGGCUAAUACAAACAUUGGGUGUUACCUUGAGCAUAUUAGGCAGGCACAAAGAAGAAAUAUUAGCUUUGUACUUGGUCUUAGCAUAAUUACUCCUGGAAUACUGUUCACACUUCUGGUGUGCAUGCUUUGUGGAGUGUUGGGAAAAAUCAGAGGAAGUUCAGAGAAUAAAGAAAAUGACUAAAGCAUGACAGAUUGUGCUCAGCAGCAAAAGAAUCAAAGCAAUUAGUUUAUUUAUUCUGCAAAAGGUAUGGGUUAACUUGAACUAUGUCUGUAAACAGCUACAAGAAAACUGAAACCUGGGUAGAGGUUGGGUCAGCUUCAGACCAGAAUUCAGAAGUCUGGCAGAUUUUUUUUGGCAGUUCUUAAUCCAAAGGGUGGGAGAUGUAGCCCUACCAGUUCAGUCUGGAAAUAAGAUACAGGCUGUUUUUUCUAGGAACCUUCAAACAGGGAUUGGAUUUGUCCCUAAAAUUUCCCUUAGUUUAGUUACAGCAUGAACAUAAGUAGAUCAGAUGCCCUGAAUGGUCCUUUUGGCUAUACUGUUUUUUGGCUAUACUGUUUAUUGGUAUUGAGACUCUUCAAGAAAAGUUAGUAAUUGUAGCAUCAUUUAUCAGUCCCUAACAAAGACUGUCCAUUUAAUUGUUGAUUCUAGUCUCCCGAUCGUUCCUACAAAACUUCAGCACAAGCCCUUUCUGCCAAAGAACACUAGAGGACUGACCUGUCUGGGUUCGCUUGCACCCAAGUCACAUGAUAAAUUUGGUGAUAAUUCAUGCCUUAUUACCCAAAUGACCUAACAGCCACAGAUCUGCCUCACAAGGCUUGUGGACCAAUGUUCAAGAAACAUUUUCAUUAAAAAUAAAGCAUGGAUUAAGUCAGGGAAGCUAAUGAAGAGAAGGGAACUUUGAAAAGUAAGUGUUUCUCUGGUCUGAAAUGAGCUUCCAGAGAGCUCCUUACAGGGCACAGGAGGCCUGGAAAGAGCAGUGUUGGUCUGGUGAGCUUUCUCUGAAACAGAAUGGAUGUUUUCCAAGUGCUCCAUUACUCAUCUAACCAUUUCUGAGUGCUACUAUCAACAGGCCGAGCUGAAAGAUACUUCUUUUUUUUUUUUUUUAAAUCUCAGCAGUGCAUCGAAGGUUUUAUUUAAAUUGCUCUUAUAAAAAAUUAAUGAAGGCAUUAUCUUGCUGGGCUACAAAAUGGCAAGAGUGGAUCCCAGUGAGAUGAAAUCUUCUUAAAAUACAGCUGUCAAAACAUUUUUGUUUUAAUAUAUCCCUGAGUGACUCUAUGCACAUGCACUUCUAAUACAGAACUAGACCAGGAGGAGGAGAAUUUCGUGCAAACCUGCUUCUAACAUGGAGCAAAGCUAGGACUCAACAUGGCAGUAUUUAAAAGGGAACAGACUGCUUAUGAUCCACAGAUGAAGCUGACUCUGAAAGUGGAGGAAGUUUCUCUCCUAAAGGAAGGGGUGGGAUUAGGUAGCAAUCUAUUAGGAAAUGACUUGCCAUCUGACCUUCCCUGAGCUUACCAGUGCAGUGACAGCUUAUUUCCUUGCAUGUCACCUAUGGGCCUGGGAUAUCUGUCCUGUGCUGGGUAGCAGUGACUGCUAGGGAAUUCUGCUUAGGCUUUCUGCCAUGAGUAAAGCCCUGCUAUACUCAUCUUGCUCCCUUUCAGCACUGCUGUUAGCUGCACAGUCAGGAAAUGCAACAGCUUUUCAUC